AACUAAAUAUAGCCCAAAAAUACACCCACACAACUAAUUUAAUACUAUUAAAAUAAAACAUUUAUUAUAAGUCAAAGUAUAGGUGAUAGAAAUGAUACAUGGCGCUAUAGAGAUAGUACCGUAAGGGAAAAAAUGAAAGAA
rnacentral:rRNA from 1 species